CCUGUUUUAAUGUGGGUGCCCGAAUCUAGAGAAAAAGUAACAACUCCACUGCCUCUCCUGAUAGAACAAAUCAGGGUUUUAGAUAAGAAAAGCCAGGGCCGAGAGUAGGCAGCGUGAAAACGGCCGCGCUUGAGCGGCUCUCAGGUUUCCUGUGAGAAAUCCCGGCGGAGAAGGCACUGCUGGCUGCUGCGUAAAUGAGUCACGGGCUUUGCAGGCCAGGGGAGAUGGAAAGCAGAUUCCAGGAAGCAAGCAAGAAGGGAUCUCUGGGAAAGUUUUCCAUUUUAGCGUGAAGCUGUUAAGCUACUGUUCGGUGCUGGAAACUCAGAGGAAAAACACCAGCCAGAAAGACCAGGGAAGGCGAGUGAAUCCUGGCAGUUCAGGAAAGAGGGACUUUGUACAUCUAGGCAAUCUGGAGCAAGUGACCAAGAUGGUACCAUCCAGGCAAGGCCUUCAAGGAUCCUAACUCAGUUGACAAUGGUAUCUUGGAGAGCAAAGAAGCCCAGGAGAGGAAGUGUCAGCUCCAAGAACCUGUUUAUGUGACAGGAAGGGGGCCUGAGGUCUUUAGAACUGCAGAGAUCUGGGUAAGAGGCAAGUAGGAGGGGUUCCCUAGCGCCCCCUACCCCAGUUUAAAGGUCUGCUUGCCAUUCCCAGGAGCCUUUCGGUUCCCGCAGACGCCUUCGGGUUCCCAAAGGUCUUCCCUCCCACGAGCUGGUUGACACGGUAGGCAGACCACUCUGCCGGGCUACCCGCGAAGGUGGAGCGAGCUGUGGGCGCCCCUUAGGGGUGCGGGAGCCUGGGGGAA